ACUCCCAAACCCCUGUGAACAUACCACUUGUUGCCUCGGCGGAUCAGCCCGCUCCCGGUAAAACGGGACGGCCCGCCAGAGGACCCCUAAACUCUGUUUCUAUAUGUAACUUCUGAGUAAAACCAUAAAUAAAUCAAAACUUUCAACAACGGAUCUCUUGGUUCUGGCAUCGAUGAAGAACGCAGCAAAAUGCGAUAAGUAAUGUGAAUUGCAGAAUUCAGUGAAUCAUCGAAUCUUUGAACGCACAUUGCGCCCGCCAGUAUUCUGGCGGGCAUGCCUGUUCGAGCGUCAUUUCAACCCUCAAGCCCUCGGGUUUGGUGUUGGGGAUCGGCGAGCCCUUGCGGCAAGCCGGCCCCGAAAUCUAGUGGCGGUCUCGCUGCAGCCUCCAUUGCGUAGUAGUAAAACCCUCGCAACUGGAACGCGGCGCGGCCAAGCCGUUAAACCCCCAACUUCUGAAUGUUGACCUCGGAUCAGGUAGGAAUACCCGCUGAACUUAAGCAUAUCAAUAAGCGGAGGAA
rnacentral:rRNA from 1 species